ensembl:lncRNA BTN2A3P butyrophilin subfamily 2 member A3, pseudogene
AGAGAAUCUGAUCCCGGGUCCCACAACUUCACAUAUCGCGAGUAAGUGGGAGGCAAAGAAAAUUCUUUUUCUCCUCUUUUGGGACAGUUUGUGACUAGUAGUGCCUGUGCCCCUGGAAAGGUUGGAGACUUGGGGGACGACUGGAGAAUUGCCAUUUGAGGACCAAAGGAGAAAAGAAACUACACGCUAAUUCUAGAAGGCCUCCUGUCCCUGCCUGCUCUGGGUGCUCAUGGAACCAGCUGCUGCCCUGCACUUCUCCCGGCCAGCCUCCCUCCUCCUCCUCCUCAGCCUGUGUGCACUGGUCUCAGCCCAGGUCACUGUCGUGGGGCCCACUGAUCCCAUCCUGGCCAUGGUGGGAGAAAACACUACGUUACGAUGCUGUCUGUCACCCGAGGAAAAUGCUGAGGACAUGGAGGUGCGGUGGUUCCAGUCUCAGUUCUCCCCUGCAGUGUUUGUGUAUAAGGGUGGAAGAGAGAGAACAGAGGAGCAGAAGGAGGAGUACCGAGGGAGAACCACCUUUGUGAGCAAAGACAGCAGGGGCAGCGUGGCCCUGAUCAUACACAAUGUCACAGCCGAGGAUAACGGCAUCUACCAGUGUUACUUCCAAGAAGGCAGGUCCUGCAAUGAGGCCAUCCUGCACCUUGUGGUGGCAGGUGCGUUGCUUCAUUUUGCUUUGUUACUUUGGCACUGUGUGACUUUGGGUAAAGCUUCUCUUCUAAAUUCCAGCCCAUUGCAGACCAGCACAAUCCUCUUUCCUGGAUCCCCAUUCCGCAGGGACACUCUCCCUAUGAAAAGAAGAUUCCAGGGAAAAAUCCUUCCUCCUGCACAAGGGCCACCAUGAGUGAGUUUGCCCUGCUAAGCCGUGGGCUUGACUUCUUGAGAAGCACAUGCAGAACUCAGUUGAGGCCAUGAGCCGGGGAAAAUGGUGAAUCUCGGAAGAGAAGUCCUAUGCCUGCCUUAGCACUGAGCUGUGCACUUCUGAGAGUGAGAGGAGACACCAUCAAUAAUUGUCUUGGGACAACUGGAAUAAACAGUGACUGCCCAGAGAACUACGAUAUUUGAAAUCUUAUUUCUUGAUGAAUAUUCAUCCUGACUUCUUUCCUGAAAUGCUGUUUGCAAAGAGAGUGACUUAUAUGUAAGUAGAGCGUUUUAUUAAAGCAAGACUUAAUACAGAA